UGCGCAGGCGGUCUUGCAAGUCAGAUGUGAAAGCCCCGGGCUUAACCUGGGAAUUGCGUUUGAAACUACAAGGCUAGAGCGCAGCAGAGGGGAGUGGAAUUCCAUGUGUAGCAGUGAAAUGCGUAGAGAUGUGGAAGAACACCGAUGGCGAAGGCAGCUCCCUGGGUUGACACUGACGCUCAUGCACGAAAGCGUGAGGAGCAAACA
rnacentral:rRNA from 1 species